UCGGCGCCGUUAAGGCGACAGCGCCAUCAGGAGUCUGAGAUUUACUUGAUUUAUAGAUUUGUUAGGUCUUUUUAAGAUAUGAUGACUUUCAUUUGCCAUACAGCGAAACCGAUCAUAUGAGACAACCAACCAAUUGUUAUUUAACUCUAUUUUUAAGACGACCGGACUUCUUUAAGUUUGCGAAGAGGUUUGAGCUCUUACUCAAGUCUUCUCCAAUUCGAAAGAUUUCAGUUUCUACUUUACAAAGGUAUAGUGUGGUGAAACAGGCCAUGUCUGUCCUGGGAUAAAGUGGAGGAGUGCACAGAAGCUGUUUACAAGAGGGGAACGAGCACACUCGUUUCCUAAGGAAGCUGAGAUCCUUCAAUGUGUGCAGCAAAAUGUUGGAGCUUUUCCUACAGUUUGUUGUGCUAAGCGCAGCUUACCUCACUGUGGUCUGCUGGAGGAGCAGCAUCGGAGUUGGUGACACCAACAGACUGCAUAAACUGAUCAGGACGGCAGGCUCUGUGAUUGGCUGCAAGUUGGACACUAUUCUAGCUGUGGUGGAGAGGAGAUCACUGCACAAACUGUGCGAUGGGUCAUGGGUAAUCCUGACCACCUUCUGCAUCACUUACUGGACAACAGCAGAGCACCCCAUCUAACAAACUCAGCUGGCACGAAGAAAAUACAUGAAAUCUAUUAUACCACACGCUGUCAUCCUAAUAAUACAGUAUACCUUUCAGGCAGACUGCAUCUGCUAGAUAAUUUAUUAUUAUUUCAAAUUUUAGCUUAAGCCUCUCAAUAUUCAGCUUAACACAAUAUCUGUACUCCUUCAUUAUGCAGACUGCAGAAAUCUCUCAUCUGAGGAAGGUUUCCAUCUUUCAUCACAUUUUUGCUAUAUUCAGUGAAGGCUGUCACUUUUUUCUGUUCCCUUUUCAAAGAGGAGCAGAAAGCAAGAUGCCUCUAUAUAACUUGUAUUAAAUAAUAUUUCACUGAAAA